rnacentral:rRNA from 1 species
AUUGAACGCUGGCGGCAUGCCUUACACAUGCAAGUCGAACGGCAGCACGGGUGCUUGCACCUGGUGGCGAGUGGCGAACGGGUGAGUAAUACAUCGGAACAUGUCCUGUAGUGGGGGAUAGCCCGGCGAAAGCCGGAUUAAUACCGCAUACGAUCUACGGAUGAAAGCGGGGGACCUUCGGGCCUCGCGCUAUAGGGUUGGCCGAUAGCUGAUUAGCUAGUUGGUGGGGUAAAGGCCUACCAAGGCGACGAUCAGUAGCUGGUCUGAGAGGACGACCAGCCACACUGGGACUGAGACACGGCCCAGACUCCUACGGGAGGCAGCAGUGGGGAAUUUUGGACAAUGGGCGAAAGCCUGAUCCAGCAAUGCCGCGUGUGUGAAGAAGGCCUUCGGGUUGUAAAGCACUUUUAUCCGGAAAGAAAUCCUUGGCUCUAAUACAGUCGGGGGAUGACGGUACCGGAAGAAUAAGCACCGGCUAACUACGUG